rnacentral:rRNA from 1 species
AAACCGGUUGAUCCUGCCGGACCCGACCGCUAUCGGGGUGGGGCUUAGCCAUGCGAGUCGAGCGCCCCAGGGACCCGCUGGGGCGCGGCGCACGGCUCAGUAACACGUGGCCAACCUACCCUCGGGAGGGGGACAACCCCGGGAAACUGGGGCUAAUCCCCCACAGGGGAGGGGUGCUGGAAGGCCCCCUCCCCCAAAGGAACCACGCCCGGCACCCGGCGUGGUUCGCCCGAGGAUGGGGCUACGGCCCAUCAUGGUAGUUGGCGGGGUAACGGCCCGCCAAGCCGAAGACGGGUGGGGGCCGUGAGAGCGGGAGCCCCGAGAUGGGCACUGAGACAAGGGCCCAGGCCCUAUGGGGUGCAGCAGGCUCGAAUACUCCGCAAAUAGGGCUGGUGGGUAACUCCGCCAGCCCUAGCGGAAUGCGGGAAACCGCGACGGGGCCACCCCGAGUGCCGUCCGAUGAGGACGGCUUUUCCCCCGUGCAAGGAGCGGGGGGAAUAAGCGGGGGGCAAGUCUGGUGUCAGCCGCCGCGGUAAUACCAGCCCCGCGAGUGGUCGGGGCGUUUACUGGGCCUAAAGCGCCCGUAGCCGGCCCGGUAAGUCACCCCUGAAAUCCACGGGCUCAACCCGUGGGCUGGGGGUGAUACUGCCGGGCUUGGGGGUGGGAGAGGCCGGGGGUACUCCCGAGGUAGGGGCGAAAUCCGAUAAUCUCGGGAGGACCACCAGUGGCGGAAGCGCCCGGCUGGAACACGCCCGACGGUGAGGGGCGAAAGCUGGGGGAGCAAACCGGGCCCAGGUCAGCGUUGCGUAAGAUUUAACAAAUUGAAACACAGCAAAACGCCAUGGAGUGCGACAGAUGCUCGGCUAUAGUUCUAUGGGCUACGACGACCCACGCGUAUUAACCCCCCUUUUCAAUCCCCCUCAUCUUUACCUCACCAAGCCGACCUGGCCCGGGCUCAAAGGGGAUUAGAUACCCCUGUAGUCCCAGCUGUAAACGAUGCGGGCUAGCUGUUGGGCGGGCUUAGGGCCCGCCCAGUGGCGUAGGGAAGCCGUUAAGCCCGCCGCCUGGGGAGUACGGCCGCAAGGCUGAAACUUAAAGGAAAGGGAGGUUGGGAGCUGGGUGCAAAGGUGAUAAUUAAGAAGUAGUGAAUAUAAUUAUGAGGUUAAGUUGGCGCAGAGGAACUAUGAAUGUAAUCUUUGUCCUCUUUGUCUGUCCAGCUCCCACCUCCCCCUGAGUUGGCGGGGGGGCACCACAAGGGGUGAAGCUUGCGGCUUAAUUGGAGUCAACGCCGGAAACCUCACCCGGGGCGACAGCAGGAUGAAGGCCAGGCUAAUGACCUUGCCGGACGAGCUGAGAGGAGGUGCAUGGCCGUCGUCAGCUCGUGCCGUGAGGUGUCCAGUUAAGUCUGGCAACGAGCGCGACCCCCGCCCCUUGUUGCCACCCUACCCUUCGGGGUAGGGGGCACACAAGGGGGACUGCCGGCGUAAGCCGGAGGAAGGAGGGGGCUACGGCAGGUCAGUAUGCCCCGAAACCCCGGGGCUGCACGCGAGCUGCAAUGGCGGGGACAGCGGGUUCCGACCCCGAAAGGGGGAGGCAAUCCCGUAAACCCCGCCCCAGUAGGAAUCGAGGGCUGCAACUCGCCCUCGUGAACGUGGAAUCCCUAGUAACCGCGUGUCACCAACGCGCGGUGAAUACGUCCCUGCCCCUUGCACACACCGCCCGUCGCGCCACCCAAGGGGAUCCUUAACGAGGCCCCCUGGGUUCACUGGGGGGUCGAGUUGGGGGUCCCCAAGGGGGGCGAAGUCGUAACAAGGUGGCCGUAGGGGAACCUGCGGCCGGAUCACCUCCUU